GACGAGUCACUACGGUGAUGAAGUAGCUCAUGCCCCGCUUCCAGGAAAAGCCUCUAAGCUCUAGAUUAUCAUUAAUCGUACCCCAAACCGACACAGGUGGUCAGGUAGAGAAUACUCAGGCGCUUGAGAGAACUCGGGUGAAGGAACUAGGCAAAAUGGUGCCGUAACUUCGGGAGAAGGCACGCUGGCGCUAGGUGAAGUCCCUCGCGGAUGGAGCUGAAGCCAGUCGCAGAUACCAGCUGGCUGCAACUGUUUAUUAAAAACACAGCACUGUGCAAACACGAAAGUGGACGUAUACGGUGUGACGCCUGCCCGGUGCUGGAAGGUUAAUUGAUGGGGUUAUCCGUAAGGAGAAGCUCUUGAUCGAAGCCCCAGUAAACGGCGGCCGUAACUAUAACGGUCCUAAGGUAGCGAAAUUCCUUGUCGGGUAAGUUCCGACCUGCACGAAUGGCGUAAUGAUGGCCAGGCUGUCUCCACCCGAGACUCAGUGAAAUUGAACUCGCUGUGAAGAUGCAGUGUACCCGCGGCAAGACGGAAAGACCCCGUGAACCUUUACUAUAGCUUGACACUGAACAUUGAGCCUUGAUGUGUAGGAUAGGUGGGAGGCUUUGAAGUGUGGACGCCAGUCUGCAUGGAGCCAACCUUGAAAUACCACCCUUUAAUGUUUGAUGUUCUAACGUAGCCCCGUUAUCCGGGGUGCGGACAGUGUCUGGUGGGUAGUUUGACUGGGGCGGUCUCCUCCCAAAGAGUAACGGAGGAGCACGAAGGUUGGCUAAGCAUGGUCGGACAUCAUGCGGUUAGUGCAAAGGCAUAAGCCAGCUUGACUGCGAGAGUGACGGCUCGAGCAGGUACGAAAGUAGGUCUUAGUGAUCCGGUGGUUCUGAAUGGAAGGGCCAUCGCUCAACGGAUAAAAGGUACUCCGGGGAUAACAGGCUGAUACCGCCCAAGAGUUCAUAUCGACGGCGGUGUUUGGCACCUCGAUGUCGGCUCAUCACAUCCUGGGGCUGAAGUAGGUCCCAAGGGUACGGCUGUUCGCCGUUUAAAGUGGUACGCGAGCUGGGUUUAGAACGUCGUGAGACAGUUCGGUCCCUAUCUGCCGUGGGCGUUGGAAGAUUGAAAGGGGCUGCUCCUAGUACGAGAGGACCGGAGUGGACGCACCACUGGUGUUCGGGUUGUCAUGCCAAUGGCAUUGCCCGGUAGCUAAGUGCGGAAGAGAUAACCGCUGAAAGCAUCUAAGCGGGAAACUUGCCUUGAGAUGAGUCUUCCCUGACCCUUAAAGGGUCCUAAAGGAACGUUUAAGACUAAGACGUUGAUAGGUUGGGUGUGUAAGCGUAGCGAUACGUUGAGCUAACCAAUACUAAUGAACCGUGAGGCUUAACCUG
rnacentral:rRNA from 1 species